GCUCUCUUCAAAAUCUAAAAACCUCUUCUUGAUCUCUCGCUCGUCCUCUUCUUCUUCUUCACUCAAUCUCUUUCCCUUUCUCGCUCGCUCUCUUCGGAAUUGCGUCUCUCGCUUUCUCUACGCAUAGUCUCUUCUUCUUCUUCGCGCAAGAAUAGAUCUUUAUUCUUCUCGAUCGUUCCUCCUUCUUCGCACAAGAACCAAUCUUUCGUCUCACCAGUUCGGGAUAAUGGCUGAAGCAAGCAGCAGCACACGUGGUGAUGAUGGCGUCUACAGUACUACGAGUAGUAUUGAUUUUUUUGGGGAAAGGAGGAGCAUCCUCCUCCAUAACGGGAAUGGGGUUCAAUCGCUUCUGUCAAUAUGCAAUGCACUCAUGCUCAGAGAAAAAUUAGUUCUUGAUAGCGACUUAACCACCGAAUCGGAAUUGGUCUUGUUUCUUAAAGAGAAACUAAAAGAACUUUGUCCUGAAACGAUGAAAGAUAGCCUCGAUCAUGCAGUUUCCACAACUCAGGAUCUUGCCAAGUAUAACCCAAAGCCAGUGUGGGAUGGGAUUGGCUCAUUCAGGGAAAACACAUGCUCUUCCAUUUUUGAUGUGUUACAGAUUGCUUUGGUCCACGGAUGGAUCAUUACUGAUGAUAAGAACGUAGAACCCAAAUCCUACGAUGAGAUAGAGGUUCCUGGUUCGUCUGAUCUUGAAAACGCUAUGGCCAGUGGAGAUGUUACACUCGAUGGUUUCUCAACUUUGAAAGAAAAAAUUGGGGAACAUCAAAUAUGUGUAGUAGUACACAAAAACCAGCUUCACACUGCCAUGAAGCAUGAAGAAGAACUUUAUCUUCUCAUAAUGGAAAAAGAGUUAAAUAGCAUGGGUAAGGUGUGGAAAAAGUUGAUGAAUGGUUCAAUGGUAGGAGACGAUCUUAAAGAGGAGGUAAGAGAGGGUAUUGCUUUGGAUGCCAUCGGUGAGGCUUCCAUCUACUGUACUUCCAUGGAAUUUAAUUUCCUUGGGGAAUAUAGGACCAUCUUACUCCACAACGGGGAUGGACUAGACUCUCUGAUAUCAAUAUGUAAUGCUCUCAUCUUAAGAGAAAAUAUUAUUCUUGAGGAUGAGUUCACUGACGAGUGGGAAUUGGUUCGGUUUCUAAAUGAGAAAAUACAAGAACUUUGCCCUGAAACGAUGAAAAACAGCCUCCCUGAUGCUAUUUCCAGAGCUCAAGAUCUUAGAGAUUAUCGUCCACCAAAACCACUGUGUAAUAGGAUUGACUCUUUUGGAGACAACAGCUGCUCUUUAAUUUUUGAUGUCCUACAGAUACCUUUGUUCCAUGGAUGGAUCGAAACUGAUAAGAACGUAGAGCCCAAAUGCUGCAAUGAAAUAAAUGCUUCUGGGUCUCCUGAUCUUGAAACGAUUAUGCUGAACAAGGAUGGUGAUUUCACAGACUAUGGUCUCUAUUCUUUAAAAGAAAAAAUUGGGAAUCAUCAAAUAUGUGUCUUAGUAAACAGUAACAAGUUCCACACUGCCAUUAAGCAUAAUGACGAGCUUUAUCUUCUCAUCGUGGACAAAUAUAUACAAAGCUCUGCUAAGGUGUGGGAAAAGGUGAAUGGUGGCAUUGUAGGAGAGGAUUUUAUACAGUCAAGCGAGAGUGAUUUGUAUGAGGAGAGAUACGAUACUGGAGUUGGACUUACAGAAGAAGCAGCAGAAGAACAUUAUGGUUUCGAAGGCUCAAUGGAGGGUAGUUAUUCUCAGUACCAGGAUGAUGUUGGUGACGAUUCUCGAGACUCUAUGGAGACGCAUGUUGGUGGUAGAUACUCACCCACUUCUGUGCUCGAUUUUGGCAGUUCUGACUCCACCUCUGACUCCACAUCUGACUCCACAUCUGACUAAUGCAAAUAUGCUGCAUGGUGUGGUUUGAGCUGCUGCUGUUAGAUAUAUCAAUAUGGUUUAUGUUGUUAAGCUCUGAUUGACAUGAGAAGGGAGCAAGUGAAAUCAGGGAGUUGCAGGCGUUCAACAGGAGCUCCAUAUUUUCUCAAUGUCUUGUAGAUAAACAUAUGUUCUUUUUUUGGGACUCAUUAAUCUGGAAAUCGAAGUGUAUAUCCCUUAGGAAAACAAAGUGUAUCAGCAUUUUACAUUUUUUCUAUCCAAUUCUUGCCAUGGAUUAAAGAAUUUA